rnacentral:tRNA from 1 species
GGUGGCUCAGUGGCAGAGCACUUGCCUUGCAUGCAUGAGGCCCUGGGUUCGAUUCCUCAGUACCA